rnacentral:rRNA from 1 species
GUGGGGAAUCUUGCGCAAUGGGCGAAAGCCUGACGCAGCCAUGCCGCGUGAAUGAUGAAGGUCUUAGGAUUGUAAAAUUCUUUCACCGGGGACGAUAAUGACGGUACCCGGAGAAGAAGCUACGGCUAACUUCGUGCCAGCAGCCGCGGUAAUACGAAGGGGGCUAGCGUUGCUCGGAAUUACUGGGCGUAAAGGGCGCGUAGGCGGACAGCUUAGUCAGAGGUGAAAGCCCAGGGCUCAACCUUGGAAUUGCCUUUGAUACUGGCUGUCUUGAGUUUGGGAGAGGUGAGUGGAACUCCGAGUGUAGAGGUGAAAUUCGUAGAUAUUCGGAAGAACUCCAGUGGCGAAGGCGACUCACUGGCCCAAUACUGACGCUGAGGCGCGAAAGCGUGGGGAGCAAACAGGAUUAGAUACCCUUGUAGUCC